rnacentral:rRNA from 1 species
GAGUUUGAUCCUGGCUCAGAUUGAACGCUGGCGGCAGGCCUAACACAUGCAAGUCGAGCGGAUGACGGGAGCUUGCUCCUUGAUUCAGCGGCGGACGGGUGAGUAAUGCCUGGGAAUCUGCCUGGUAGUGGGGGGACAACGUUUCGAAAGGAACGCUAAUACCGCAUACGUCCUACGGGAGAAAGCAGGGGACCUUCGGGCCUUGCGCUAUCAGAUGAGCCUAGGUCGGAUUAGCUAGUUGGUGGGGUAAUGGCUCACCAAGGCGACGAUCCGUAACUGGUCUGAGAGGAUGAUCAGUCACACUGGAACUGAGACACGGUCCAGACUCCUACGGGAGGCAGCAGUGGGGAAUAUUGGACAAUGGGCGAAAGCCUGAUCCAGCCAUGCCGCGUGUGUGAAGAAGGUCUUCGGAUUGUAAAGCACUUUAAGUUGGGAGGAAGGGCAGUAAGUUAAUACCUUGCUGUUUUGACGUUACCGACAGAAUAAGCACCGGCUAACUCUGUGCCAGCCG